AGCGAACGCUGGCGGCAGGCUUAACACAUGCAAGUCGAGCGGGCAUCCUUGUGGUGUCAGCGGCGGACGGGUGAGUAACGCGUGGGAACGUGCCUUCUGGUUCGGAAUAACUCAGGGAAACUUGAGCUAAUACCGGAUACGCCCUUUUUGGGGAAAGGUUUACUGCCGGAAGAUCGGCCCGCGUCUGAUUAGCUAGUUGGUGGGGUAACGGCCUACCAAGGCGACGAUCAGUAGCUGGUCUGAGAGGAUGAUCAGCCACACUGGGACUGAGACACGGCCCAGACUCCUACGGGAGGCAGCAGUGGGGAAUCUUGCGCAAUGGGCGAAAGCCUGACGCAGCCAUGCCGCGUGAAUGAUGAAGGUCUUAGGAUUGUAAAAUUCUUUCACCGGGGACGAUAAUGACGGUACCCGGAGAAGAAGCUCCGGCUAACUUCGUGCCAGCCGCCGCCGUAAUAC
rnacentral:rRNA from 1 species